AUUGAACGCUGGCGGAAUGCCUUACACAUGCAAGUCGAACGGCAGCACGGACUUCGGUCUGGUGGCGAGUGGCGAACGGGUGAGUAAUGUAUCGGAACGUGCCCAGUCGUGGGGGAUAACGUAGUGAAAAUUACGCUAAUACCGCAUACGAGCUAUGGAUGAAAGCGGGGGAUCGCAAGACCUCGCGCGAUUGGAGCGGCCGAUAUCAGAUUAGGUAGUUGGUGGGGUAAAGGCCCACCAAGCCAACGAUCUGUAGCUGGUCUGAGAGGACGACCAGCCAAACUGGAACUGAGACACGGUCCAGACUCCUACGGGAGGGAGCAGUGGGGAAUUUUGGACAAUGGGCGAAAGCCUGAUCCAGCCAUUCCGCGUGCAGGAUGAAGGCCCUCGGGUUGUAAACUGCUUUUGUACAGAACGAAAAGGUUUCUACUAAUACUAGGAGCUCAUGACGGUACUGUAAGAAUAAGCACCGGCUAACUACGUGCCAGCCGCCGCCGUAA
rnacentral:rRNA from 1 species